rnacentral:lncRNA from 1 species
AGGACAACUGAAAAGCAAUGUGGUCCAUUCCCUGUUAUAUAAACACGUGUGUUGCACUGCAGAAGCAGAAAGAAAGCAGCAAGUGUUUCUGCCCGGAAUCACAUGAGGCAAGACUCAACAGAAGAUGGAACAUUUAAGCAGGCCUUGAGGCCAACAGCUGCCCAUUGUCACUGGUUCUACCUUUAGCAGCAUCUCUCUCCUCUCCUGAUAUCCUACAAGCCUGGAAACCUGGGACUGUUCAGAGCCCCGAGAGCUAGAAUAAGUGUGCCAUGUAAUGUGGAUGGACUGGCCGCCUUAAGCAGGGCUGCACAGGAGGAAAUCUGUCUCCUCCCCGCUC